UCAAGAGACGUUUUCCCUGGUAGCCCCAGGUUUAUCAAAUGUCGAAAUUAGAAUGGUACUUUCUUGUUCAUGAGAAUAGUUUUCCCUGUACAUGAGACGCACGUGCUGAUUGACUGUCUCAGGAGGGAAGAGGAGGGGGUAAAGAUGAUGACGUCAUGGUUCUACAAAGCGUCACCAGAGGGCAAGUUGUCAUGUCACCAUAACACAAGAUGAUGGAAGUUGUCUACUACCAGAUAUCGUGUUGUCAGGCGUGACAUCACAAUUCGAGUGUUAUCCAACAGAGAGCAUGUUGCUAGGACACGAGGUGGCACCAGAGGGUACGUUGGUAUGAUGAGCACGAAGAUAGUUAUGACAUUAAAUGACCUAACAUUAUGUUUAUAGUAUUGCUUUAUAGAUAAAACAUUAAAUCUGCUAUUUUAACCUCAUCAACUUUAUAAAUCUUUCUAAUAUAUUGCAUACAUCUUAUAAAGGCAGACGUUGUUUCUAUAGGCAGAUAGGGCUGCAUGCGGAUUUCAACUUAUGUUUAUAGUUUUCAUUUAUAUAUUUAAUUGCAUUACAUGUGUUGCUAUAGGUAGACAGGAGAUAUGGGACUCAGUGAACUCUCCUAUUGUAGGAAGCACUACACCACCACCACAACAAGACGCCAUCAGAUGUGAUCACAUCUCUGGUAGAACCACUACAUCUCAAAGGCAAAAAAGAGCUUUUUGGAAUGAGGUCUGUCUCAAAUUUAUCCAAGGCCUAUGAAGGUAAAGGCAGAACAGGAUCCUGAACAACUUCAGUCCAGAAGACUGUGAAGAUGGCCAUCCAGAAGAUCCAGUCAUCUUGUUGACCAGCUUCAGUCGUUAAUAAGGAAGCCUCUAUGUUAAGGGCAAUAAUCUUCAUAGUCAUUCUCACCAAAGUCUACAAGCAAAGAUACUCUAGGAGCCAUCUUAGAAAACAGCAAGGAUGGAAUUGGCAACCAAACUACCAAAAUACCAGUCUUCAGGUAUUAUCAAGAAAUGGUUGUCAACUGGACAGGGGCAUGAGUCCUGUACAACAGAGAUGAAGGUUGGCUGAGACGAUAUGAGAAGGUGGUGUGGUACUUGUGGUUCAGACUUGCUGACACUGAAAGAGCCCUCAGAAAAGCUCAGGAUUAUCUGAAGGCGUCAAUGACAGUCAACCACAAGACAACUAUAACUCUAGAGAAUCUGCUGGUGGGGUUGAGUCGAUGAUGUCUUUUCUACCCGAAGGGAUAUUGCAGCAACACAUAACAUCUCAGUUGAAGAGAUUGGUCAUUUUUAUAUUUUCUGCUGGCCGAAUUAAUAAUGUAUUUGUGUUACAAUUGACCAAUGCUAUGGAAGAAAAAAGGGUCAAGAGGUGACGCUGUCAACUGAACAAAGAAACUGAAGCACACUUUCUUGGUUUGGUUCUACAAGGAGAUCAACAAAUAAAAACACUGUUUGGAGAUCAUUGUGUUUAAUCAAACUCUAUAGAGAUCAAUUCCGAGAGAGGAAAAGCUGCUGGACUAAAUAUAACCUAGUAAAUGUCUUGACUGUGAUCCAAUCUGCAUAAGUAUGUAUACUUUGCUUCUUUUCAUUGUAGAAAUAAAGAACUUAAUUCAUUUCA